AGAAGGCAGAAGAGAAGGUGGGAAGCGCCGCUGCCGCACGCCACUGCUGCGCCUGCCGCGCCGCUGCACGCCUCCGGUUCUUCAGCAGUCUGAAAAUCUUACGAAGAUAUUUUUGAGAGAUUGAGACGUAGCAACUUUAUCCUUGCAUUAUGUUCUGCAGAACCAGUAUUUCGCUCAUCUGCAUUUUAAUGGCGGUAGUCACAGCUACCGACUUCAGUGACCCAGAUUCCAACACAACAGAAUACGAUCCUGAGGUCACUGUCGAUCGUUUGAGAACUGAUGAUCCACGUAAGUGCCGG